rnacentral:sRNA from 1 species
AGCAGGCAUCUCUGUAGGCCUUGAGACGUAGUCCCGUAAAACUCAUCCCGUUUCUACUUGAUUUGCUUUCUUUGAGAACUCUUGUUUACUUUUAUAUGGAGGUUUCCCUCCUUGGAUUAAAACAUAAACCUCAAUCUGAAGUUCCAUUUUAUCUUAAUUUAUGAACGACUAAGAGAGGGAACAUGAAAAGUGGAGAUCCGAGAUCAGCUUGUUGUUGGACAGCUGAUUCCAGACUGCUAUGUAGAACUUGAGAAAAUCAUUUUAUCGGAGCGUAAAAACGUGCCAGUUGAAUUUCCUGUAAUUGACCAGAAAAGAUUAUUACAACUAGUGAGAGAAAAUCAGCUGCAGUUAGAUGAAAAUGAACUUCCUCACGCAGUUCACUUUCUAAAUGAAUCAGGAGUCCUUCUUCAUUUUCAAGACCCAGCACUGCAGUUAAGUGACUUGUACUUUGUGGAACCCAAGUGGCUUUGUAAAAUCAUGGCACAGAUUUUGACGGUGAAAGUGGAAGGUUGUCCAAAACACCCUAAGGGAAUUAUUUCGCGUAGAGAUGUGGAAAAAUUU